UAGAAGAGUCAUCCUCAUUUGUAAACUAUUUGAGUUUAUUUGAGAGAAAUAGACAUUUCACUAACUUGAGUGAACCUUGUUCUUUUUUCUCUUUCUAUCCAUAUUAUGUGCUUCUGUGUGAGACCUGAGAAAGUUAUAGGUCCACGGGAAGGUGUUCGAGGUGAGGAACCAUCCAAGCCAUUGAUUCUGAUAUAAUAUAUAUAUAUUGUACAUGCGCAGCCAUUACUUAUUAUAUCUUCUCUAUCAAGGGUUAUUCUCUCAUUCAUAUCAUCUCCCUUUCUCUUUAAUAUUCUCUGUAAAGUAAGUUCACUCGGUUCUUGUGAAGUUUCAGAACCGGUGAUCUUCUUUCCCGUGACGAGCAGACUGAAUGUGUCUCCUUUGUUUCAUUGAGUGAUUUUGUGAGUAAUGUGUUCUUGUCUACUCUUAGUCAAAUAAAUCUAAGGUUUGUCUUCGAAAUAGCUGUAGAUCGAUAGUUGUGAGACGAUAGGGGCUACCAAGUUGUUUGGUCGCAUCUUUGGGUUUCGAUUCUUGUCAUCCUGUGUUCAAAUCGUAUGUAAGUGGGUUUAUUAGGGUCUAAGUUACAUUACAUUUUUUCAUUUGAUUUCAUGUGGUUUUCAUUGUUAAAAUCGAUAUUUCGGUCCGUACUGUCGUAAGAGUAACUUUUCAGAGUUAGAAGGUUUAAUUUUUCAGAUUGAACUAUAGCACGCAUAUAAAAAUAAAACCUCGUCUUCAGAAAAGGCUCUAGAGGCAAUGGCGCCGGCUGCAUACUACACCCCAGCCGCUGUGGUUGGGUCAACCUCCCACCCUACUGCCUGGCCCAGAUCCUCUGGUUCUUCCAAUUCGGAGAACUUCAAAAUAAAAAUUCUCAGAGUCAACGGUGGAGAGGUUUGAGAUUGCAUGUGUUUUAGGAUGUAUUAAGAAAAAUAUUGGAUGUUACUACCACUGAACCAGGGGUUGUUUUCAUAAUAACAACCGCUGCGACCUUAUCACGCGCCACAAUCAGCCUCCCUGCACAAGAUGGCGAACCCAGAGUAUAUGAGGGUCUCUUCCAAAUUUAUCAAUGGUUGGUUCCUUUGUUCCAUGUAGAGGUGGACUUCAAAGUGGCAAUGAUGGAAGGUUGAGUAUAGCUCGGGCAGAUGGAACUGCAUUUAGUGGUAUAGUAGCAGGACCUAUGAUCGCUGCAUAUUCUGUACAAGUCAGUUCCUUUCUUGAAAGAAAUAUGUGAUAAAAUUAAUUACUGAUAUAGGAAUUACUUGAUAUAGAAAUUACUGUAGCUGAAUUAAAAUGCUCUACCUUAGCAAAAGAUGUGGAUUUUAAUUUAAUGACUAAAGUUGAUACAUAAAUAAUAAAAUAUACAUCUAAUUAUUCAAUAAAUUAGAAUAUAAUGCAUACAUUCACAUAGCCAAUAGUGUGAAAAGUUGAUAUUUGACUAAAAAGAUAUUUUAUUCAUAGUGUUGUGUCUCUUUCUCUUUCUUGGUUCUCAUGUGAUAUUUUGAUCUCUCUUCUAUGUAUUUGUGAAAUCGGAUGCCACAAUAAAUAUAUGUAGUUGGCUCAUCCCAGAAAUAUGUCUUUUAUCAUAUUCUCUUUCCUUCAAUUGCGUUCUUGGUAUCUCGCCUCGCGACGAGGGUGAGUCAUGAGAGAAACAGAGCGAACCACAUGUCUUGAUAUUUAUUCUAUAAAAGAUGUUGUUGGUUGUAUAUGAUGCACAUUUUGUAGCAUUUUAAUUUGUUUUUUGUGGUGAUCAUCAGCAAUAUAUAUUAUUUGAACUUUAUUUUUAUUUUAGAGCAUUAUAAUCAUGGUUUUCAUAGCACCUUGGCGUCCUGGUAGGGCACCAGCAGCACCAGGACAACUCACCUCACCGUUUUGCAAGACUGGCAUCUUAGCAUCACCAAACCCGUUUUGACUCAGUACAUGACCAAGCCUAAAUUUAAACCCCCCCCUCCAAAAAAAAAGAAAGGAACCCUUUCUCCACCCACCGUCAUUGGCCGUCAUUUGUCAGUAGUAAAGGUUAUUUGUAUGUAAGCUUUAUUUGUAUGUUUAUAUUGGGCAUGAGUCCAAAAAAGCACCCGAAUAUGAAGGAGGCUCGAAGACAAAAGCGGAGCCAGAGCUCCCAGGCCACGGAGCCGUCCAAUAACAAUAGAGCUUCAUGUCACGGAGCCAAAGACUGUUGGCUCCACAAAGCCGAAAACAACGUAACAACCUCCAUUGGACUGUGAUUCCUCCACAAAGAAAAUUAUUGCUGCCUCCUCAAGGCCGAAAGCAGCAGCCUCCAUGGGCCCUGGGGCAACAACCUCUAUUAACCUUGGGGCAGCAACUCCUUAGGCUAUGGCGCCUCUAUUCCGGAACAUUUCUUUCACAAAGUCAGAAUGUGCUGCCUCCAAUGGGUUGAAAACAACUGCCUCUAUUGGAUUGCGGUGCUUCCACAAAGCAAAGGAAGGUUGCCUCCACAAGAAAGAAAACAACAGCUUCCACGAUCAUGGGAUAACCACCUCUAUUGGUUCAGAAUGAAUUGGGAAUCAAUUCAAGGGAAGUGGAGGCGGUUUAGAAUGAGUGGGAGCUAGUUCAGAUGUAAUGGAGGCGAUUCGAAAAAAAUCCAGCAGUUGAAAAUUGAUGGAGGGAGGUUACUAGGAGGUUGAAGGUAGUGGAAGGAAUAAGUGAAACUACAUUUUUAGUAGAAGAGGUAGUUAUUUGAUAUUAUUAUAAAUAUAGUAAAACACGCAACACACACGACAAGAACACACAUAUCCUCUACAAGUCUUUAUCAUUUUAUUAGUUUAUCCAUAGGUUUUAGGAGAUUAUCUUAAUUUCUUGCUAAUUUAUGUUUCUAACAUGUUUGUAUCCACUUUCUAGUAGAUUUAUCCAAAUUUUAGUAAAUUUUAGUUUAAAUCCAUCAAAAUCGGUCGUUUAGGCUCGAAGCCUCUUUUAGGUUCCAACAAUUGGCACGCCCAGUGGGACCAACGUCAGAUUUCUCGAAGAAUGAUGUCGAGGCAUACAUGGGGUUCAUUGUACCACUUGAAGAAAGCUACGGCAUUGUCGCAGAAAAUCCAAUGCUUCAGGCCUUAGGGCCGGGGCAUGCAUGAUCGGGCUAGAGCCUCCAAACUGCAGGAGCUUGGAGCCACCUGGUUGCUGGAGGCUGAAGCCAACAGCUUGCAGGAGGCUGGACGCAACAGCCUGUGGAGGGCUGGAACCAACAGCUUGCAGGAGGCUGGAGCCAACAGCCUGCGAAGGGCUGCAACCAACAGCUUGCGGAGCGCUGGAGCCAACAGGCUGCGGAGGGCUGGAACCCCUUGGCCGUUGGAGUUUUGGAGAGUAGUGCUGAGCCUCCAUGAGGAGCAGGCAAAUUUCCAGCAUUUGGCAUGAUCCCGCCAACGCGAUUCAGCGGACAACGUAUGUGGAAUGUGCCAACACCGUCAUGGGGAUGUCACGGUCCGUAUGUGGCUAAUCUCCAAUGGAAGAGGACCGUUGAAACACAGGAGCAAUGAGGGCAGGCCACAGAGAUGCAGCCGUCAACCUUCCAUCAGCAGACAUCUGGAUUGCAGCCGCUGACACCAAAUCAACAAGAGGCCAAGCCUCUGAUGGACGUUGAUGUCAUUGCAGAUUGCAUACGGAGGGCAUUUUCGAAAAGAAGAUUUGAAAAGAAGCCUAGUGCCACUUUGAGCGCGAAAAAUUCACCUCCAUACAAAAAAAAAAAAAAGCUGCAGGGGCAGAGACUCCAAAGGCUGUAGAGGCUCCAGUCGAAAAGGAGUUUGCGGAGACAGAGGCUCUAGAAGCCAUGGAAGCUCCAGAGUUUGCGGAGGCAGAGACUCCAAAGACCAUGGAGACUCCAAACAAAAAAGAGGUUGCAAAGGUAGAGGCUCCAUAUGAAAAGGAGUCUGCAGGGGCACAAGCUCCAAAGACCAUAGAGGCUCCAUAAGAUUAGGAGGCUGUAGGGGCAGAGACUCCAGAGGCUAUGAAGGCUCCAUACGAAAAGAAGCCUACAAGGGUAGAAGCCCUAGAGACUUCAGACGAAAAGGACUUUGCGGAGACAGAAGCUUUGGCAACAAAAUUAGCAAAUGGAAAGAUUAUUUGUGUCCGGCAUUAAAGCUGAGCAAAAGGUUUAUUCCUUAUCCAAAUACCAUGUC